UACGGAGGAUCCGAGCGUUAUCCGGAUUUAUUGGGCUUAAAGGGUGCGUAGGUGGCCUGUUAAGUCAGGGGUGAAAGACGGUAGCUCAACUAUCGCAGUGCCCUUGAUACUGAUGGGCUUGAAUGAACUAGAGGUAGGCGGAAUGUGACAAGUAGCGGUGAAAUGCACAGAUAUGUCACAGAACACCAAUUGCGAAGGCAGCUUACUAUGGUUUUAUUGACACUGAGGCACGAAAGCGUGGGGAUCAAACAGG
rnacentral:rRNA from 1 species